rnacentral:rRNA from 1 species
AACGAACGCUGGCGGCAUGCCUAACACAUGCAGGUCGAACGAGACCUUCGGGUCUAGUGGCGCACGGGUGCGUAACGCGUGGGAACCUGCCCUUAGGUUCGGAAUAACUCCCCGAAAGGGGUGCUAAUACCGGAUAAUGUCUUCGGACCAAAGAUUUAUCGCCUUUGGAUGGGCCCGCGUUGGAUUAGCUAGUUGGUAGGGUAAAAGCCUACCAAGGCGACGAUCCAUAGCUGGUCUGAGAGGAUGAUCAGCCACACUGGGACUGAGACGCGGCCCAGACUCCUACGGGAGGCAGCAGUGGGGAAUAUUGGACAAUGGGCGAAAGCCUGAUCCAGCAAUGCCGCGUGAGUGAUGAAGGCCUUAGGGUUGUAAAGCUCUUUUACCCGGGAUGAUAAUGACAGUACCGGGAGAAUAAGCUCCGGCUAACUCCGUG